rnacentral:rRNA from 1 species
GCAGGGAAGAUAAUGACGGUACCUGCAGAAGCAGCUGCGGCUAACUACGUGCCAGCAGCCGCGGUAAUACGUAGGCAGCAAGCGUUGUUCGGAGUUACUGGGCGUAAAGGGUGUGUAGGCGGUUGUUUAAGUUUGGUGUGAAAUCUCCCGGCUCAACUGGGAGGGUGCGCCGAAUACUGAAUGACUAGAGUGCGGGAGAGGUGAGUGGAAUUCCUGGUGUAGCGGUGAAAUGCGUAGAUAUCAGGAGGAACACCGGUGGUGUAGACGGCUCACUGGACCGUAACUGACGCUGAGACACGAAAGCGUGGGUAGCAAACAGGAUUAGAUACCCUGGUAGUCCACGCCCUAAACGAUGCAUAUUUGGUGUGGGCAGUUCAUUCUGUCCGUGCCGGAGCUAACGCGUUAAAUAUGCCGCCUGGGGAGUACAGUCGCAAGGCUGAAACUCAAAGGAAUUGACGGGGGCCCGCACAAGCGGUGGAGCAUGUGGUUCAAUUCGACGCAACGCGAAGAACCUUACCUGGGCUCGAACGGCUGGUCAACGGCGGUGGAAACAUCGCUACCCCGCAAGGGGGUCCAGUCGAGGUGCUGCAUGGCUGUCGUCAGCUCGUGUCGUGAGAUGU